CUGCCUUUUUGGGAGCUGGGAUUCCCACCUGAGACCUGCAAUGCCCUCUGGAGCGGGUGCUGUCUGACGGUGCCACAUAAUCUGGUUUCCCCUAAGAAGCACCUGUGAAGAAAACGCAAAGUGACAGGUUGUGGAAGACUUGCCUCCUGUGUGUAGGAGUGUCUACUGUGAUGCUGUGGACUGGAUGAUACACACCUAACA
rnacentral:lncRNA from 1 species